rnacentral:rRNA from 1 species
UACGGAGGGUGCAAGCGUUAUCCGGAUUCACUGGGUUUAAAGGGUGCGUAGGAGGGCAGGUAAGUCAGUGGUGAAAUCCCCGAGCUUAACUUGGGAACUGCCGUUGAUACUAUCUGUCUUGAAUGUUGUGGAGGUAAGCGGAAUAUGUCAUGGUAGCGGUGAAAUGCUUAGAUAUGACAUAGAACACCAAUUGCGAAAGGCAGCUUGCUACACAAUUAUUGACUCUGAUGCACGAAAGCGUGGGGAUCGAAACAGG